rnacentral:lncRNA from 1 species
CUAUUUUGGCCUUUUUUUCCAUUUUCCUUUUAUUUUAAGUUGUAAAACUUUAUUGAGAGAUGGUUAGCAGUCAAAUUUCCAACACAAGGACAGCAUGCUUGGCUUCAGUCUGUCUCUGUUUAAAUCUGUGGUUGUCCUUCACCAGCUUCUGGCAUUUUAACAGGCUCUAGAAUUGGUAGAAUCUCCUUCUUGACAUCAGGACCACCUCCAGGCUCAUCCACAGUCUUCAAGAGAACCAGUUUCUACUGAUCAGCUUCCAUAUCAGCCCUUUGAGCUACAGAUGCUCCUUCAUCUUCAAUGUCAUAAGCAGGUAUAAUAUCCUGACUCUCAGUUUGUGGUUCUUCUAGUUGAGGUUGUUUAUCACUGGGCUGCUGAGCAACCAGAGGUCUAACUGGCUGGGAAGACUCUCCAUCAUUUCUUCUUCCUGCAGAUUUGGAUCUUGUUCUGACAUGCCCACUCAUAUUUCCCAACUUAACUCCCAGGAGUAUUGCUAUGAGGAUCUAUUGGCUGAGUUUCAUUCAGCAAGGAAGAAUCCAAAUGGCAGGAACACGAUCUGCCCUGCACAGCUGCUGUUGGUCUUUUUUCUUACCUCUGUAUCUUCUAAGUCUGCACCAUAUGCAUGAUGGCUUGUGGUUAGAAUCUGGAUCUUCUGAUCUCCAACUUUCACUACAUCAUCAUUUAUCUGACACAAUGCAAAUGGAGUCUCAUUUACAGGAAGAAUCUUCACUUUUUUUAAAUUUGGAAACUG